AAGGUUUAGAACAUCAGAUGACUCUUAGCAGAUGCUUCUGGAAUCCAAACAGUGGUUCUGUUCAUACCUGGACCACCUUGUUCAUCCAUCAUGUCUGUGCCACUGCACUGCAGUAGUUUUCUCAUCCAGGAGAGCCUGACCAUGGACAACAGGAUCAACAUGCUCUGAAGAGCCUGAUCCAGAGGACACAGGGAACCUUCAGGCUUCCAUGACUUUCCAGUCCCCCACAUCCCCAGUCCAGCUGCCUCAGACAAGAGCUUUGGAAUUAUGAAGAAUCAUCAGACCCCACUGGCUUACAGCCUGCCCACAUCCAGAGCUAGAGGAUAACUCCAGCUUCCCAAAAUCCCAGUUUAAGCACCUUUAGUAAAUGGCUGAAAUGGUCCCAGGAACUGCCCCUGCUCUCCUCUGUGGCUACUCCUGCACCACCAAACUCCAGAGGGCCCCUGAGUCCAGAGAUCUCAAGUGCAGUCAGCUCUU